CAUUUACUGACAUACACUAACACACACGCUAACUUGAACUAACAUACGCUAACAGACACACUAACAUUUACUGACAUACACUAACACACACGCUAACUUGAACUAACAUACGCUAACAGACACACUAACAUUUACUGACAUACACUAACACACACGCUAACUUGAACUAACAUACGCUAACAGACACACUAACAUACACUGACCUACGGUAACAGACACACUAACUUGAACUAACAUACGCUAACAGACACACUAACAUUUACUGACAUACACUAACACACACGCUAACUUGAACUAACAUACGCUAACAGACACACUAACAUACACUGACAUACGGUAACAGACACACUAACUUGAACUAACAUACGCUAACAGACACACUAACUUGAACUAACAUACGCUAACAGACACGCUAACAUACACUGACAUACACUAACAGACACACUAACUUGAACUAACAUAAGCUAACAGACACGCUAACUUGAACUAACAUAAGCUAACAGAUACGCUAACUUGAACUAACAUAAGCUUACAGAUACGCUAACUUGAACUAACAUAAACUAACAGUCAAGCUAACUUAAACUAACAUACGCUAACAGACACGAAUAUUCCCCUAUAUUCUGUCCAUUCUGCACUUUCUCUAAAGUGAUAGCUGGAGGGGGGUUACACUAACAUGCUAACAUGCACGCUAACAUGCACUAACAUACAGUUUCCACCUCAGAACAUGCUUUAAUAUGCACCUGCGUUUGAUUCUAGUUCAUGAAAAAAAGGGCAAACUAUCUAUUUCGUUACGCACGUAUUCAGAGAUUGGGGUUAACUCAAUUGUACAAUCAAUACAGUUAUAAAAUUACUUCAGGAAAGCGCUGACUGAUGAUAUAACUCAGCACCUGGAAUUUUCCCUGAAGCAGUUUGUUUCAUAAUCAGCUUGGCAACAGGUUACCAUUCGACAAGGCACCAUAAACCUUAAACCCAUAGACAAGCUGCCUUUGUUUUUAUAGACCUCCACUGCUGUUGGGGCCUGGGGGGUUUACGGCUCCAUGCAAAAGCGGCAAUUAAACCAAGAAUUUUGAUAAUGGCAGUCAAAAUAAAAACAUAGCUUCAAGCAGUGGUCUCAACUUGAGGUUCAAUUUAUCAAAAGUCUGACUGAUUCAAACGUGACAUUAAGAGAGAGAUUUGUAAAGAGAAACUGGACAAUCAUAGUGAAACUUUUUUAUUUUCAUUAAAUAUAGAACUUUAGUGUUUCACAUCAGUCUCACCACCUUAUAGGAGCUGAUGGAGACCAGAAACGGAGCAAAAAGAGAAUGAAUAUUGGACCGACGACCUCAGGUGACUCGAAACACGACUGAAACCAACGGGUCUGCAGCUGUGACCCAGAGGUCACGACCUCCACUUAUGUGUUGAGUGUUUCUUCUUCCUGGCUCCUGCUUCAAGCUCCCCGUCCGACAAGUGUGUGUGUGUGUGUGUGUUAUGCAAAUCUGCCAUUAAGGCCAAACGCUGCAGUGAAUGAAGGAAUGUCGUCGUAGCAGUAGCAGAUAGUCCGGUACAGAGGGGAUGGUAGGGGGUUGGUUGGGCUGAAAGGGGAAGGAUUGUGGCAGGAAGGUUGUGUGUGUGUGUGUGUGUGUGUGUGUGUGUGUGUGUGUGUGUGUGUGUGUGUGUGUGUGUGCGUGCUUGCCAGGCUGCGCCGCUCCUCCAUCUUGACCUGUGUGUACACGCCGAGCCUUAAAGGGCCCAAAAAACAGGCCUUGACCUGCAGAGCAAAUAAAUCUUCUCCGGGGGGGUUACAGCUUCAAUUUCACCUUUCACUUACUGACACUCUCUCUCUCUCCCCUUGUCUCACACACGCACACAGAGCACACACAGGCGUGUUUGUUGCGUGUCAGUAGGGAGACGUGUGCUGUGCAGAGGACCCAGCUUUCACAGCUCGGACGGCCUGAAAAAAAUCACUUUUUAAAGAGAAGAAAAAGAAGCUGUGCAGCGUGCUUACACAGCUGCCCCGCUCAAUAAACGGCAAACAGCGAGCGAGGGUGGGCGAGGGAGGGCGAGGGCGGGCGAGGGCCGGGCAGCAUGCGCUCUGUCAUUGCGCUCUCCUUCCCUCACAGGAGCGAGUUUGUGAGUUGACGCCAACGAGCAGAAGUCCAUCACGAGGCUCCCUGGGGAAGUUCCCCCGGGUUCAUUGUUCAGGUGGUUUGCGCUCGGCACUGCGCGUCCGUGCGGAUCCGCGCGCCCGUGAGGAGAUGCCGAAGCACGAGGUGGAGCCAAAGGGCCAAAGUGUUCAAAUCCUUCAGCAGCUCUUACAGUUUUUUCACGUUUGAAUGUAGCUUAAAAUCACACAAUUAUCCAAACCGUGCACUCGAGGAGCGAAACUCGGCCCAGAUUUGCACCACUAAUGCAAAACAAUACACACACUGAAAAAA
ensembl:lncRNA